UACGUAGGGGGCGAGCGUUGUCCGGAUUCAUUGGGCGUAAAGCGCGCGUAGGCGGCCCCGCAAGUCGGCCGUGAAAUCUCCGGGCUCAACUCGGAGGGGUCGGGCGAGACUGCGAGGCUCGAGGUGGGCAGAGGGCAGUGGAAUUCCGGGUGUAGUGGUGGAAUGCGUAGAGAUGUGGAGGAACACCGAUGGCGAAGGCAGCCCCCUGGGCUAACACUGACGCUCAUGCACGAAAGCGUGGGGAGCAAACAGG
rnacentral:rRNA from 1 species